UACAGAGGUCUCAAGCGUUGUUCGGAUUCAUUGGGCGUAAAGGGUGCGUAGGCGGCGCGGUAAGUCGGGUGUGAAAUCUUGGAGCUUAACUCCGAAACUGCAUUCGAUACUGCCGUGCUUGAGGACUGGAGAGGAGACUGGAAUUCCUGGUGUAGCGGUGGAAUGCGCAGAUAUCAGGAGGAACACCAAUAGCGAAGGCAGCUCGCUGGGACGUUACUGACACUGAGGCGCGAAAGCGUGGGGAGCGAACAGG
rnacentral:rRNA from 1 species